rnacentral:lncRNA from 1 species
UGUGUGUGUGUGUGUGUGCGUGUGUUCUCAUUUCCGCUUCCCCUUUCUGAGCUGGCAACAGCAGUUUAAUGAGGACAGAGAGAAAGGUACAACAUGCAAUAUGAUAUUUUGUCAUUGUCCUCACUCAGACCCCGAUACCUGGGAAGGGCUUGGCCCGACUUUGCUAACUGCUCUGCCUCAAACUCUGCUCUCUGCCUGCAGACCCGUCCCAUUCUCGUGCUUGUAACUGUGAACUAGUGGAAAGACCCCGCCUAAACCGGUGCUGCUUUGUGUGGGGGGACUACUGUCCUCCGAAGCUGCAGGAGAAAGCUGGCCAGGAGAUAAGCUACAGCAAGACAGGCUGGGCGUCGAUAGGAGGGAGAAGUCACACGCUGGACGGUGCCAGGCCAGCUUCACUGGAAGGCUCAAGAGUGAUAACCAUCUGUGGGGGUUGUCUCUCAGGCUGUACAUCUCAGAGGAGGAUGGAGGGGUAUGUUGACCACUUAAUGACUUACGUCAUCUCGGGUGGGGGAGGGUCUGUGCCCCUCCAGCAUCCCUUGUCUUACUGGCAGCCGGGCUCAGCAUGUCACCACCUACAUGACUUUUGGGGAAGGUAGAGGAGUGGAAAGAUGGUCCACACUGGGGUUUUCCCAGGCCCCUGCUAUGCUGCUGAGCUUUCCAGUGGGUGGAGAAGAGGCGGGUCCCCUACACAGAACAGCGACAAGAUAAAAGAGCCCCCCAGAAAUGGUUUGAUAAGAUCAUGAGCAUUUAUAAGUACCAGUGACUCUACCACAAGUGGCUGCCUGUCUAGGAGAGAGGACUUUUGAGACAGUAUGUAGCAGGUGCUGAGGGUAGGAAGUUGGAGGUGGGAGGCUUUCAGCUUAUGUGUCUGAGCUGCAGAUUGCCGGGUGUUGGGCUUGAGUGAUUGGAGCUGAAGAUCUGGUAUGAUUCUCCUGUAACGGGAAGCAGUACUAGGAGGAGGGUAGGCCAGGUUUAUUAUCUAUCUCUACUAGAAUAUCAUCAGAGAUAACAAGCAGAAGAUGUAGCAAGAGAGAUAGAAAGAGACCUAACAAAUGAUUUCUUAUUCACGGGCACCGCGGGGAGUUUAGAAACUCUUUACAGCCCUACUCACAGCUGUUUCUCAUAACUCCCCUGGCCCCUGAAAGGAGGAUGGAGCCCUGGGAUUAAGCAUUACGUAGCAGCCCUGGGAAUCAACACAGUCAUUUUUAGUUCAGGGCUUCUAAUAGAGAAUGGAGAGGAAGUUUGGU